CAAAAUGACCCAAAAGACACAAAAUGAUGGGAAAAAAAUCUAAAUUACUUAAAGAAGAAACAAAAUGGCCAAAAAAAGACACUGAAUUACCAAAAUAAGACACAAAAUUAUUUUAAAAAGACACAAAAUUACCAAAAAAAGACAGAUCCAUGAGUAUGUAGUGUAAGGUACAAUACCAAAGUAAUAGAAGAGCCAACAAAAACCCUAAAAAACAAGUUUGUGUCCCUUCAUGUUGGCGUCCAGGGAGCCAGAUGUCCCUGAGUCACAGGGUGUUGCUGGUGAAUUAGUCCGACAUGUGAAGACUUGUAGAGUCGAGUGAUCUUUCUGGAUUAACACAUCCACGAGCACCAGAAAAGGUUCAUUCAUCAGGGUUUCAUAAGCCAACCAGUCCGUUUUAAUCAAACACAGACAGCCGACUGGACAUGGGACCAAAUGGAAUGGACUACAGACGUGGAGACAGUUCUCCCAGAGUGGGUUGCCCUGGGUUACUGGAAGUGUUUCAUCAUGCAAAUGAUCCAGAAUCUGGACAAUGGACAAUACUCUAAAGGAUUAACUUGGUUCAUGUUGAGAAGAAUCAACACAAGCUAUGCAACAGUUGCUGUAGCAAUCAAAGUCAUGUGAUCGAGUAGUGACAGGACAAAUUAGUCUCUGAUUGAAGAGGUGAAAGAUUAUGAUGGUCCCAGUAGGAGAACUAGGACCAGAACCAGGAUGCUGACGUGGAUUAAUUGUUCAAGGGAUACGACUCAACAUCCCAGGUUGAAGUCAUUCAGGAGGAGGAGUUAUCUCUUCCAAUCCAGUGUGAGAGCGACCCUCUAGCUCUGAACAGAGUGCUGGUGUAUGGUGGUCGAUCCAAUGACAUACAUUAUGUAAGUUUAUACACAUUAUUAGUAGUUUUGAUUGGACAUUUUUUGUAUAUUUGUUUUCCAACCAUUAUGAAAAACAAAAUAUAAGUCUACUUCUCAACCUGGUCACUGGUUGGUC